rnacentral:lncRNA from 1 species
UAAGUAUUGGGGAAAUGUAUACGAAUAAAUAUUUAUUGAGGUCAGCAUUUUUAUAAUUUACAAAAUAAUGCAAAUUUUUUUUCCAAAUUCAGUGUAUGAAUUCCCAUUGCCUAUAUUUUUCCUUUUUUAUUGUGCUCAAAUGUACAUGACAUAAAUUUACCAUUUUUAGGUGUCCAGGUUUUAGCAUUACAUAUAUUCACAUUGUUAUGCAACCUACUCCAUCAUCUUUCUCUGAAACUUCCAUUUCUUCGAACCCAAACUCUGUGCCUAUUAAUAACUCUUCAUUCUACCCUCAGUCCUUAGUAACCACACUCUACUUUUUGUCUUCAUGAAUUUGACUGUUCUAGCUUCCUCAUGAAAGUGGAAUGGUAGAAUAUUUGUGUUUUUGCAUCUUCCUGAUUCUCUUAGCAAAAUGUCUUUAAGAUUCAUGUGCUCUGCAUCGGAACUCCUUCCUUUUGAAAAGUUGAAUAAUAUUCCUCUAUAUGCACAAUCACAUUUUGUUCAUUCAUUCAUCCUUUGAUGUUGUUUGAGGAUUGAGAGAAGAUUGUGUUGUAUUUUCUCUGUCCAGCCCUGGAAUCAACCAUUUCUUCAGGAAGUUUUAGUUCCUUUUACUGGAGGAUGCUAUUUGGAAAGAUCAAAGUGCUAGUUAUGCUUGUUACUGAGAGUGUAUUACUGUUUAUAGGCACCCUCUGUGUGGAGAGGUGGGAAAUAUUUUUUUAUUAACAUAAAGAUAUUGCCUCAUUCAUAUUUAUUUUUAAACCUACCCACCUACAUACCUAUUAAAAUCCAUGUGGUCAUCCUGACACCUGUGAUUGCAGACCAGCAUUGCAGGGUCAAUUGUAUUUUUCCUCUCUCCUUAUUUCUAGUUUAUUUUUCUGAGAGUGAGAAACCUGGCUGUCAUUCUCCACAAUAUUGUUGUUGUUUUUUUUUCAGUUGUACUAUGUAUACAAUGCAAUUCCAAAUUUGCUAACAUAUACCCCCUGUAAAAAGCAAAUUUAUUAGAGUAUAGUGUUUGUAUCCUUAUGCACUCUUUUGAGAUCUCACCCUAAUGUCAUUAAUUGACAAAAAGCCCUUUUAACCAUCAUUCAUAUCCAGUAUUUGUUUCCUUAUUUGACUUAUCAUUUUUUCCUAAUAGUUAUUAUGUGUAUAUCUGCAUGUGUAUGUAUAUGUGUGUGUGUCAAAUUUUAAAAAGAUCCAUGCUCUUUCUGAGAUUUGGUUAUAUGAAUUAAUAAAUUUUUCACUCUGUGUGUUUGGGUUUCUGUCACUUGUAACCAAACUGUCC